CGCAUACCCAACUGAAGCUUUCUUCCCUUCUCCAGUGGAGUGCACCUGCACAGAAACUCUCUCUGUACCACGUACCUGCUGCCAGAAGCUGGGAAGGAGUGGUGCUGGUGAUUCAAAACUGAUUUUCCUGCCUCUUCGAUGCCUCUUUUAGUGACAUACAGUUAAGACCAGGCACUGAGAGGAUCUGAGAUGGUAUAGAAGUGUUUGUAUCCCAGCAGCAGGUGGAAG
rnacentral:lncRNA from 10 species